UUGCCUUAGUAACGGCGAGUGAAGCGGCAAGAGCUCAAAUUUGAAAUCCCCUGCCAAGGGGAGUUGUAAUUUGUAGGUUGUGGUUUGAGCGCGCAGUGCAAGUCUCCUGGAACGGAGCGCCUUAGAGGGUGAGAGCCCCGUAGACUGUUGCUCACUGUAAGCCACUUCCAAAGAGUCGAGUUGUUUGGGAAUGCAGCUCUAAGCGGGAGGUAAAUUCCUUCUAAAGCUAAAUAUUGGCGAGAGACCGAUAGCGAACAAGUACAGUGAUGGAAAGAUGAAAAGAACUUUGAAAAGAGAGUGAAAAAGUACGUGAAAUUGUUAAAAGGGAAGGGUACUGCAUGAGACUUGGGGCGUGUGUUCAGCAGCCAUUCGUGNCUGUGUACUCAUGCGCUCUAGGCCAGGGAGAGGCAGGNGGGAGCGAAAAAGCGCGUGGAAAGUGGCUCUUCGGAGUGUUAUAGCCACGCGUAAUAGCUCCUCGGCUACCUCAGGACUGCGCUU
rnacentral:rRNA from 2 species